rnacentral:rRNA from 1 species
GAUGAACGCUGGCGGCGUGCUUAACACAUGCAAGUCGAACGGAAAGGCUCCUGCUUGCAGGGGUACUCGAGUGGCGAACGGGUGAGUAACACGUGGGUGAUCUGCCCUGCACUUCGGGAUAAGCCUGGGGAACUGGGUCUAAUACCGGAUAGGACCACAUUUUGGAUGGUGUGGUGGAAAGUUUUUCGGUGUUGGAUGAGCUCGCGGCCUAUCAGCUUGUUGGUGGGGUAAUGGCCUACCAAGGCGUCGACGGGUAGCCGGCCUGAGAGGGUGUACGGCCACAAUGGGACUAAGAUACGGCCCAGACGCCAACGGGAGGCAGCAGGGGGGAAUAUUACACAACGGGCGCAAGCCUGAUGCAGCGACGCCGCGUGGGGGAUGACGGCCUUCGGGUUGUAAACUCCUUUCGCUAGGGACGAAGCGCAAGUGACGGUACCUGGAGAAGAAGCACCGGCUAACUACGUG